GGGAAAAAGAGAAGGAGGAACAGAGAUUGGAGCUGCAGAGGAUAAGCGAGGACAGAGGGACAGAGAUGAGGCUGGAGUUACAGGGACAGGUGGACAGGCAGAAAGACAGCAAAGAGAGGGACAGACAGACAGGAACAGAAGGACACGGAGGCUGAGGGAGAGGGGAGAGAGAGCAAGAUAGACAGGGAGAGACAGAGAAAGAGAAUAAGAGAGACCAAGGGGAUAAUGCAGGUUUAUCAACAGAGACAGGGAUGGAGAGGAGCAGAUGGAGAAUGAAAGAGUGGUAUUCAGGCAAGUAGGCAGAAAUGCCACAGCCCAAGGCCCACAGGAAAAGAAACUGAGGUACAGAGAAGCCAGACAAAGACCAAUGGUGUGUAGAGAGAUGGUGAGUGCUGGGUUUGUUGGCUCACGCCUGCAAUCCCAGCACUUUGGGAGGCCGAGGUGGGAGGAUUGCUUGAGGCCAGGAGUUUGAGGCCAGCCUGGGCAACAUAGAGCGACUCCAUCUCUACGAAAAUAAAAAAAUUAGCUGGGCAUCAUGGUAUGUGCCUGUAAAGUCUCAGCUACUGGGGAGGCUGAGGAGGGAGGAUCCCUUGAGCACAGGAGGUCAAGGCUGCAGUGAGCCGUGAUCAUGCCACUGCACUCCAGCCUGGGUGACAGAGUGAGACCCUGUCUCAACCAAAAAAAAAAAAAAAAGGAAAAAAAAAAGAAAAAAAUCCCAAACCCCCAAACUCCACCAAAAACAGAAAAACAAAACACCCUUUCUAAUAAGUCUGCCUAUUUUCAGUGCUGGAAGCAGCCCCUGCCACCUCCGCCCCCCAAAAGAGGAGAAUAUCAUGUCUGACAACACAGAGACAGAGAGGCCACAGACAAGACUUGACCAAGUCAAAGAGAGAGAAACAGGGGAAACUGAGGCAGAGACCAAGAACAAUGAGGCACUACAGAGAUAAACUAGCUGUCGGACAGACUGUUGUGGAGAGAAAGGGGGACCCAGGAGAGGGAUCCCGAAAGCUCCGUGCCUCUCUUUUUUCAGACGAUCUCUCAGGACCCUCUGACAGUGCUCUCCUUCCUCUUUGAUGCCUCUGUCUUGGGAUACUAGCUGAAGCUGGAGAGACACCAGUUAGACCUAAGGAAGGACUUCCCUGAGAAGUAGGGGCUUAUGGUCACCGGCAGGAGCUGGGGCCUCCCUUCCCCAUCAGCCCUAAUUGCCAAGAUGUCAUGGGGGGAAGAGGAGGGGAUUAAGCAGACGGGUGCCCCUCCCCCUCCCAGCCAAUGUCACCUCCUGGUGCCCAGUCGAGUCCCCCACCUUGGCCGGGAUUACCCUCCGAGAUCCAGGCCAUGACAAAUGACAUCACUCCUGGCCCAGGCUUAAAAUCUCCCCAUGUGAGGGGAUGUGUUUCCUUCAGCCUCUGCUGUCUGGCCGCUCUGUCUAGGUCCUGGGCCACCGGAGAGCCCUGUCCCUCCUUUCUGAAG
rnacentral:sRNA from 1 species